ensembl:lncRNA
GAAAAAUCCACCACUUCUACUGUGAAUUUCCAGCUGUUGUGAAGCUGGUAUGAGGAGACGUUGCUGUUUUUGAGACCACAGUGUUCAUCAGCAGCAUCCUACUUCUCCUCCUCCCCAUCUUGCUGGUUUCUGCAUCCUAUGCCUUCAUCCUCCACAGCCUCAUUCAGAUGCGUGCAGCUGGGAAGUCAAGAAAAGAGCCUGACAUGAACUAACUGCUCAAUAACUAUUUGUUGCAUGGGUUAAUAAAUGAAAAGGACCUGGAUUAUUUUACUGUCCCACAUGACAUUCAAGGAUGGCUAUCAUUAAAGAAACAGAAUGCAAGUGUUGGUGAGGAGGUGAAGAACGUGGAACCCUUGUGCACUGUUGGUGGGAAUGUAAAAUGGCACAACCAUUAUAGAAAACAGUUUCACGUUUCCUCAAAAAUGAGAAAAUAAAAUUACUGUAUAAUCCAGUAAUUCCAUAGAAUAUUCAUUUUCCGUGAGAGUUGUUUUACCCCUUAAUCCUGGCAGGAUACUCCUAUCUGGCUUUAGUGGAACCUUAUAGCUCUUGGGGCAAAGACAUAUCCUAGUAGCCCAGCACUAGAAGCCAAGAUGGAAAAGAUCUCCACAGCCACCAUGACCUCCCCCUUGGUGCUGUUAUGCACAGGGAGGAAGGUGAUCCAGACCCUACAGAACACCAGCAUGCUGAAUGUGAGGCCCUUGGCUUCCCUGAAAUUGCCAGGCAGGCUCCUGGCCAGGAAAGCCAAGGUGAAGCUCAUGAAGGCCAAGGAGCCCAAGUAUCCUAAGGAAAGGUAGAACAAAACGACAGAGCCCUCAUCGCACAGAAUUAUGGGGAGGGUAGGCUCAGAAUGUGCAUGUACAUCAACAAAAGGGGGAGAGUUUCCCAACCAGACAGUAGAGAAAGUCAACUGAAUCAAUGAGCAGAUGGGGAUGAUGGAAUUAGGUGCCCCUGACAGCAACCACUGCCUCAUCUUUAUCCCUGGGGUUGUGAACUUGAAAGCCAGAACUACAGUGAUGGUUUUAGCCAAAAUGGUGGGAACCACCACAAUAAACAUGAUUCCAGACAACAUUUGUUGCAGGAUCCAGGUGGAGGGUUGGAAUGUCUAAUGAAGAGUAAGCUCAGAGGAAGCAGAGGAUGAGGGAGGUGAGCAGGAGUAGCUGAGAGCCCAGUUAAUACCUUGGACUAUGGGUGGGUCGCUAUACUUCACAAAAAUGCCAAGAACCACAGCUGUGAGGACAGACAGGCAAAGAGCUUCACAGGCAAGUACCAUCCCCAUAGGAUCUCCAUAGGCCAAGAAGAUCACAACUUUUGAGAGGCAAUGAUCUCGAUCACUGUUUGGGUAUUGAUUGUCUGGACACUUCAUACAUUGCUUCAUAUCUGGCAAGAAAAGCAUGGUGCCACUAACUUGGGUUCAAUGAUUCUUAAGAGUCCUCAAAAUAUUCACAUUUGGCCAAAUCGAUAUGAUUAGACAACAAAUAAAGGAAUGCUAUAGGGAGAGAAAUUCCAAGAUAAUGGUGUCUAUUGUGUUCUCGGUAUAACAAAGGUCAAGGAGCUCUAGCCUCACCUCUUUUGUUCAUCUUCUGUAUGCAAGGGAAUUAGUUUUUUCUUAGAAACAAAAAUUACACCUUUUAUAUCACUUAAAUAUGGGUAGGGUAGGACAUAUCCUCGAUUCGCUCCCUCAAAAGCAGGCACUUGUUGAUAACUUUCAGUGACCUAAUUUCCGGAGGUUUGCAGAUAUAGAGAUGGCCAAGAUAUAACCUGUCACUGAAGCUUCAAAAUUACAUUUCUGCCAUCCAAUUUAUUGCACACCUAUCUCCUAUUCGUUCCCACUUCUAUUAUUUUUGUUCAGAUUUGAAUAACAUCUAUUUUAACAAAAUAACUCCCUAACAAGUCUUCCUGUCUUCUGUCUUGAAUCCCUCUCACCUCUCACCCAUUCAAUCACACCCAUUCAUAUUUCUAUUAUUAAAUCCAUCCACGUAAUUUCCUUGCUUAAAAUAUCACAGUUAUACUCAUCUUCUUCUAGACCACUGAUUCUCAAAUAUUGGUGCAUGUUAGAAUCACCUGGAUGGCUUGUUAAAACAGGUUGCUUCACCCUGCUAUCGGGGUUCCUGAUUCAGAAACUCAGAAUUUACAAUUUUAAUAAGUUCUCAUGAUAGGCUGAUGCUGUUGGUAUAGGUACUACACUUUGAGAACCAUCAUUCUCGAUGGAAUCCAAACUCCUAGCAACAUAGAAAACGUGCAUGAUUAUCUUGCUUCUAACUACUUUUCCUGUAGCACCUUUUUUGAGAGGAGUUGUGUAGUGAGGAUAAAAGUACACAUUUUAUUGUGGAUCUGUGGUAUUGUAGGCAAUUUGCUUGAUAUAUCACAUAAUAUAUCUUUCUUUAAUUCUUACAGAAUCGUUUGAGGUAGGUGGACAGUAUCAACACAUUUAGCAGAAUAAAAUAAUUGAGGCUUAAAGAGCUUGAAUAACUCACCUGGGAUCUUGAAGGUAGUGAGGGCUGGGCUAGGAUCCAGACUUAAGAGCACGGGGCCAGACUCGGGUGAGGGGAAUGAAAAACCAGAGGUGCAAAAUUUAAGGAAGCACUCACUUUCAUGUGCCAACCCUGCCCUUGAAUGACCCUGAGAGUGAGUGCCUCCAUAAAUUUUGUACCCCAGGCACCUCACCUACCUUUCCCUAGUCCUGGCCUUACUCAGUACUGUCUGACUCCAAAGCCAGUGAUCUUUCCAUUACAUACCUUUUGCUGACUUUAAUGU